CAAAGAUUAGCCUAAAGCCUUCAUCCUGCCAACACGAAAAUGUUGUCUUUUGAACUCCACUGAUAAAAUUUAAUGUGAUCAAGGAGAUCUCCAGUCCCUGCUACCCCUCCAGCCUCUGAACCAACUGCACUCCAGGCCUGUGGAGCAGCUAUCACUGAGACUGCCUGCACUGCAAUACUAGGGUCUUUGACCAGUUUUGGCAUGAGGGUAUUGCUGGCCUUUGAAAAUGAGUUCAGAAGUGUGCCUUCCUCUUCAAGAUUUUUGGAAGAGUCUGAGAAUUGGUAUUAAAAUCUUCAAAUGUUUGGUGAAAUUCAUAAGUGAAGCUCUCUCCUCCUGGACUUUUGUUUCUUGGGAGGUUUUUGAUUACUGAUUCAAUCCUGUGGCUGUUUUGUAAUUCUUCUUUGUUCCUUUCUUCCCUUGUGCCUUGAUGACUUUAUGUAAUAUUCUGCUCAGAUUCCUUUCUUAUCUUUUAUGUAUCUACUAUAGGUUUUCUUUUUAUGGCAUCACAAGGCUGACAUAUAAUGACCUAUUUGUAUAACCAACUAUUUUAAGAUGAUAGCAAGUUAUGCUCCACAAAUAAGUGAAACCAUAUGAUAAUUGACUCUCUCUGCUUGACUUAUUUCACUCAGCAUAAUCUCUUCCAGUCCCGUCCAUGUUGCUACAAAAGUUGGGUAUUCAUGGAGAGAUGGA